UUUGGGUUAUUAUUCUCAGUUUGGCUGCUGCUGGAGUUGGUGGAUAUGCAGUUUACAAGUACAGAAUCCAGCAUAUCUUGCAAAGCAUAUCUUUCAGGAGCAUAUCUUUGCAAUGUGGAACUUGAAAAGAAAAUUGAUGAGAAGAUUGGCCAGUUCAUCGAUAGAGUGGAGAAACAUUGAGUAAGAAAAUUGAUGAGAAGAUUGGCCAGUUCUUAGAUUGUAUUUUUUUCAUAAAAUAAUUUUUUCCAAGUUUUUAGUUGUAAUAACUUUCACAUAUGGCUCAAAUUUUGAGACUCAAAUGGAAUGUUCAAUUAAACUAUAAU